CGUCCGGGUAACAUCAUGUCAUCCACGACUCCAUGCCAUGGGUUCCCUCGCCAUCGCUGUCUCCUUCCCUCCCCAACUUCCCCACCACCGUUGUUGCCGCCGCCGCCGCCGCCUCCUCGUCUCCCCACCGCCCCUCUCCAAAAACCCUAACCCUAACCCUAACCCCAUCCCCAUCCCCAUAAAUCCCCACCCCCUCCCCAACCGCCGGUCCCUCCUCCUCCUCUCCUCCUCCGCCGCGGCCGCCUCUCUCCUACCCCUCCCCGCCGCUGCGGACACCGAUGCAUCUGCCUCUUCCCCCGCCCCCUCGUCCCCCUCCGCCGCCGCCGUCACUGAGCGCGUCUACAUGGACUUCAGCCUCUGUCCAAGCUACUUCCGCUCCGACCGCCCCGUGGGCUCCGACCUCGCCGCCUGCCCCGACCCCGAGCCCCUCGGCCGCGUGGUCUUUGGCCUCUACGGCAAGCUCGUCCCCCAGACCGUAGCCAACUUCAAGGCUAUGUGCGCCUCCGCCGCCUACCGCGGCACCCUCGUCCACAAGGUCAUUCGGGGACAAUUCUUCGUCGCCGGCCGCCAGGGCCGACGGGAUAAGGGCGAGGUCCGGCCGCCACCGAACCUCGCGAGGAACAUGGAGACCGUCGACUCGAGGGCGUUCCAGCUGAAGCACUCGAGGCCGGGAACGCUCUCGCUGUGCCUCUCCCAAAACGACGAUGACGAGGUGAUCAGACUCGAUCCCAAUUACCACAAUGUUGAGUUCUUGGUAACGACGGGGCCCGGCCCAUGCCCGCAACUCGACAAUGAGAACAUUGUCUUCGGGACCGUGCUUGAAGAGAAGCAGUUCAAAAUCUAGCCAUAUGCGACCAUCUUUGGAUAAUAUGGUGUUAUUGUGCUUGGCUUGAAGGUUGAUAAGGUCAGAAAUUACCCAGUAUGCUAAGAAGAUGCUAUUUAGGAUUAUAAGAGGAGAUGAUGUAAAGGGCUGAGAAGAAAAGAAUAGAACGAUUGGCAUCAUUGCUUGAGGAUAGCCAGCUACUUUUGCUGAUGCUGCAGAAGAUUUGCAUUUUGUGAUAAUGUGGCAGCUCUGAAGAUUACCUGUGAUAAGUGAGGUUAAGGACAUUGCAGAUGGUGCGAGUAAGAGCUUCAUAAAGAGUAUAUCCUUAUAGUUUCCUGUGUUCUAUAGUUUAAAUAUCUGACAGUAUGCUCCUUUCUUGUGUUGCCUUGCUGUUUAAUUGGUGUCAUAUUAUUUUUCCUUAAAAAUUGGCCCUAGAUAUAAUGUUUGAGGAAGACUUCAUGACCUCAAGCAGGGGAUUUGGCAGAUUUACACUCGCUGGAGCCCUGUAAUUUAUAAAUUCUCAACUGAAGGGAAAAGGCCAUUGCUAUUCCGAGGAGUCGAUCCUCACUCAUAUAUAUUCUUUAUGUAUACAACAAGCUCCUUUUUAGGCCUUCAUUUAACAGACUGGAUGUUGUUACCACCAUAGCUACCAUUCCCACCUAUAAACCAGCCGAAAGGAUUCGUCAGUUCAAUGAUUUUGCUGAGUUCAUUGGUGAUGAGAGAGCUCAGGUGGCUCGCACGAUGUGGGAUCGGCCUCUGAAAACAGUUUAUAUCAGCGACUGUGGAGAGCUCAAGGUGGCAAAGCCUUCCCUUUCUCCCAAUUUACCUUGACAUGCUGGAGUGAUGUGUAUAACUUAAAGAGGGAAUUAAUUUUAUUGUACCUGGCCCCAGGAUGUCUCUUUUCAGCAGCAUGACAUUAGUUAGGCCCAGGAUGAAUAUUCUUUCAUGUUCAUAUGUCCAGCUGAUGCCAUUAGCUACGAAACAUUUCCCAGAGUCGACAGGAUAGAUUCUCCAACCCUGUUUUCAGCUCGGCCAGAGAUGUUUAUGACAGCACAGUAAAAAGGCUAAUGCCCGAACAUUACAAUUUUCUAUUCAUAAAAGAUAAAAACACUGAAAAUAUCCUGUCUAUUUUCUUCAACUCUUUUGAUUUUGCAUGGUUUUACUGAUUCUGCUGGAUGCUUUUGUUUCCUCUAUAAUUUGUUGAGGAAGGGAUACACUAAUAAGUGAUAGAUUGGUCUUGCAGUGGAUUUUUUUCAUGAAAACUAUUAAGGUUCAUGGAUAUGGAUCUUACUUUUGGUUAA